rnacentral:rRNA from 1 species
GUGGGGGAUAUUGCACAAUGGGGGAAACCCUGAUGCAGCGACGCCGCGUGGGUGAAGAAGUAUUUCGGUAUGUAAAGCCCUAUCAGCAGGGAAGAAGAUGACAGUACCUGAGUAAGAAGCCCCGGCUAACUACGUGCCAGCAGCCGCGGUAAUACGUAGGGGGCAAGCGUUAUCCGGAUUUACUGGGUGUAAAGGGAGCGUAGACGGUUAUGUAAGUCUGGAGUGAAAGCCCGGGGCCCAACCCCGGGACUGCUUUGGAAACUGUGUAACUGGAGUACAGGAGGGGCAGGCGGAAUUCCUGGUGUAGCGGUGAAAUGCGUAGAUAUCAGGAGGAACACCGGCGGCGAAGGCGGCCUGCUGGACUGAAACUGACGUUGAGGCUCGAAAGCGUGGGGAGCAAACAGGA